rnacentral:tmRNA from 1 species
GGGGUUGUACUGGUUUCGACGGGGGCGUGGAAGUUGAGGAAGCCAUCCGCAGUUUCCGGGACUGCGUUAAAACCUGGAACUUAAAUAUAAAAGCUGAAGAUAAUAAUUACGCUUUAGCAGCUGCUUAAUGCUGCUUGUCAGCCCGGGAUCGCUCACAGUCCCGGUAGCUGGCAUCAACAAUGUGGGGACCUUUGCCGUUUAAGCUUUGCAACGGCAAAAGAUUUAUGAAGCUACUGAGAGGAUAAGCCUGUCGCCGGGCGUAUCCUGGAGGGAAUGAAUAUACAGCGACUGUGAUGGGAGAUGCUUCGAUGGAUGUGCCUUCGGACCGGGGUUCGACUCCCCGCAGCUCCAUUC